GAAGGUGUGUCGUGAGGCAUGCUGGAGGUAUCAGAAGUGCGAAUGCUGACAUAAGUAACGAUAAAGCGGGUGAAAAGCCCGCUCGCCGGAAGACCAAGGGUUCCUGUCCAACGUUAAUCGGGGCAGGGUGAGUCGACCCCUAAGGCGAGGCCGAAAGGCGUAGUCGAUGGGAAACGGGUUAAUAUUCCCGUACUUGGUGUUACUGCGAAGGGGGGACGGAGAAGGCUAUGUUGGCCGGGCGACGGUUGUCCCGGUUUAAGCGUGUAGGUGUGUGUUCCAGGUAAAUCCGGUUCACUUUAACACUGAGGCGUGAUGACGAGGCACUACGGUGCUGAAGCAACAAAUGCCCUGCUUCCAGGAAAAGCCUCUAAGCAUCAGGUAACAUCAAAUCGUACCCCAAACCGACACAGGUGGUCAGGUAGAGAAUACCAAGGCGCUUGAGAGAACUCGGGUGAAGGAACUAGGCAAAAUGGUGCCGUAACUUCGGGAGAAGGCACGCUGACACGUAGGUGAAGUGAUUUACUCACGGAGCUGAAGUCAGUCGAAGAUACCAGCUGGCUGCAACUGUUUAUUAAAAACACAGCACUGUGCAAACACGAAAGUGGACGUAUACGGUGUGACGCCUGCCCGGUGCCGGAAGGUUAAUUGAUGGGGUCAGCGCAAGCGAAGCUCCUGAUCGAAGCCCCGGUAAACGGCGGCCGUAACUAUAACGGUCCUAAGGUAGCGAAAUUCCUUGUCGGGUAAGUUCCGACCUGCACGAAUGGCGUAAUGAUGGCCAGGCUGUCUCCACCCGAGACUCAGUGAAAUUGAACUCGCUGUGAAGAUGCAGUGUACCCGCGGCAAGACGGAAAGACCCCGUGAACCUUUACUAUAGCUUGACACUGAACAUUGAGCCUUGAUGUGUAGGAUAGGUGGGAGGCUUUGAAGUGUGGACGCCAGUCUGCAUGGAGCCGACCUUGAAAUACCACCCUUUAAUGUUUGAUGUUCUAACGUGGACCCGUGAUCCGGGUUGCGGACAGUGUCUGGUGGGUAGUUUGACUGGGGCGGUCUCCUCCUAAAGAGUAACGGAGGAGCACGAAGGUUGGCUAAUCCUGGUCGGACAUCAGGAGGUUAGUGCAAUGGCAUAAGCCAGCUUGACUGCGAGCGUGACGGCGCGAGCAGGUGCGAAAGCAGGUCAUAGUGAUCCGGUGGUUCUGAAUGGAAGGGCCAUCGCUCAACGGAUAAAAGGUACUCCGGGGAUAACAGGCUGAUACCGCCCAAGAGUUCAUAUCGACGGCGGUGUUUGGCACCUCGAUGUCGGCUCAUCACAUCCUGGGGCUGAAGUAGGUCCCAAGGGUAUGGCUGUUCGCCAUUUAAAGUGGUACGCGAGCUGGGUUUAGAACGUCGUGAGACAGUUCGGUCCCUAUCUGCCGUGGGCGCUGGAGAACUGAGGGGGGCUGCUCCUAGUACGAGAGGACCGGAGUGGACGCAUCACUGGUGUUCGGGUUGUCAUGCCAAUGGCACUGCCCGGUAGCUAAAUGCGGAAGAGAUAAGUGCUGAAAGCAUCUAAGCACGAAACUUGCCCCGA
rnacentral:rRNA from 1 species